UACGAAGGGGGCUAGCGUUGCUCGGAUUGACUGGGCGUAAAGGGCGCGUAGGCGGAUAGUACAGUCAGGCGUGAAAUUCCUGGGCUCAACCUGGGGGCUGCGUUUGAUACGUAUUGUCUGGAGUUCGGAAGAGGGUCGUGGAAUUCCCAGUGUAGAGGUGGAAUUCGUAGAUAUUAGGAAGAACACCAGUGGCGAAGGCGGCUCACUGGUCCGGUACUGACGCUGAGGUGCGAAAGCGUGGGGAGCAAACAGG
rnacentral:rRNA from 1 species